CAACCCAUCCUGUGAUGUCCACUGCUCACCCAAACCCUUCCCAUGAUGCCCACCACCCAACCCAACCCUUCCCAUGAUCCUUUGCUCCCAGGUGAUGCGUUGGGAGGGUUCCAUGUUCCGGGAGGUGCAGCAGGUACCGGCACGGGGCUCGUUGGUCUUCCAACCGUUGGCGUUGGCCGGUCAACGUUACGUCAUCUUGGGCAACGACUACGCCCCGAGCCGUGUCUACCGCCUCGGGCCCGGUGGCCACCUGGAGCCCAUCCAGGAGCUGCUGGCCCCCACACCACGUGCCUUUGCCCCCCUCUCCGUGGGUCACCGUCACUUUUUGGUGGCCUCCAGCUUCAAAGGGGCCACCCAAAUCUACCGGCACGUCACCGUUGACUUGGGGUCUUGAGGGACCGUUGUGGUGGGACGUGAGGGACAUCAGGCGUCGUGUCAUCGUGGGGACAUCGGAUGUCACAGCGGGGAGGUGGCUGAAGGACGUGGGGACAGCGGCUGUGAUGUCAUCGUGGAUCUGGGCACUUGAGGGACACGGGGGACGUCAAACAUCCUCUGGCACCAGGACAUGGGGACACUGGUCAUCAUGUCACCGUGGAGUUGGGGGUCUGAGGGACAUCAAACAUCCCGUCAGCGUGGAGCUGGGGGCUGGAGGGACAUGGGGACAUUAAUUGGGAUGUCACCGUGGACCUGUCACCUGGGGGACAUCAUGUCAUUGAGGGUCUGAAGGACUUGGGGACAUCAGCUGUCACAUCACCAUGGAUGUGGCACCUGAGGGACAUGGGGACAUCAACCAUCCUGUCACCUCCCCGUGGACCUGGUGCCUGAGGGACAUGGGGACAUCAAUCACCAGGUCAUCGUGCACCUGGAUGCCAAAGGGAGAUGGGGACACAGGCCACCACGUCACCAAAGGUGACCUGGGGACAUGGGCCACCAUGUCCCCACGGAUGUGGGCACCUUGGGGACAUCAACCACAACAUCACUGUGGACCUCCGUGCCUGAGGGACAUGGUGACACAAGCCACCAUGUCACUGGGGACAUGAGGACCUUGUCUCCUGCUGGUGUCACCAUCGGCACCACAUUGUCCCCAACAUCUCACCCAGCAUCCCCCCAAUUCCAGUGUCACCCACCAUUGUUCCCAGUGUCACCAUUAGUCCCAUGCCACCCCUGUCCCUGGUGUCACCAUUGGCCCCACGUCAUCUUGUCACCUCCAGGUGCCACCAUCUGCCUGAUGUCCCCAAGGCCACCAUCAACCCAAUGUCACUGUUGGCCCCACAUCAUCUUGUCACCUCCCAGUGCCACCAUCU
rnacentral:lncRNA from 1 species